UACGUAGGGGGCUAGCGUUGUCCGGAAUCAUUGGGCGUAAAGCGCGUGUAGGCGGUUCGGUAAGUCUGCUGUGAAAGUCGGGGGCUCAACCCUCGAAUGCCGGUGGAUACUGUCGGACUAGAGUGCGGAAGAGGCGAGUGGAAUUCCUGGUGUAGCGGUGAAAUGCGCAGAUAUCAGGAGGAACACCAAUGGCGAAGGCAGCUCACUGGGACGGUAUUGACGCUGAGACGCGAAAGCGUGGGGAGCAAACAGG
rnacentral:rRNA from 1 species